GAGCUGUGAAGAGCCGGACUUUUUCUGCUGUCGACGCAGCAAGGCUUGCAUAGAAAAACUUCUGUUAUGUGAUUUGGUAGAUGAUUGUGGUGAUCAUACUGAUGAGGUUGACUGUGCCAAUCAAGGCAAAGACAGGAAGCAUUGUUCCAGAGUUGACGACCGUGAUGAGUGGUUGAUUAAUCAGUACCUGAGUUCCAAUGUAACUUUGAAAAUGGAAUCUGUAACUGGGAACAAGAUACAGAAGACGACGUUGAUUGGACCAGGAAGCACGGUCCAACUUCAACACUUAAUACAGGGCCAAUGAAGGCUCAUACCUUGGGCACAGCUAAAGGACACUAUCUCUACAUAGAAUCUUCGGAGCCACAGGUUUUCCAAAACAGAGCUACUUUCCUCAGCCCUGUCCUCAAUGCCACCGAUGCAGGGGGCUGCACCUUCCGCUUAUAUUACCACAUGUUUGGAAAGCAUAUUUAUAGGCUGGCCAUCUACCAGAGAGUUUGGAGUAACACAAGAGACAGCUGCUGUGGCAGAUAUUUGGGAAUCAAGGCAACAGAUGGAUGAGGAAACGCCUCAAUCUUUCCAGCAGGAAGCCUUUUCAGGCACACAGUGAGAGAGAGAGGCAGAGGCACAGGCAGAGGGAGAAGCAGGCUCCAUGC